rnacentral:rRNA from 1 species
UACGAAGGGUGCUAGCGUUGUUCGGAAUUACUGGGCGUAAAGCGCGCGUAGGCGGCCAUUCAAGUCAGAGGUGAAAUCCCUGGGCUCAACCCAGGAAUUGCCUUUGAAACUGUAUGGCUAGAGUGUCGGAGGGGAUAGCGGAAUUGCUAAUGUAGAGGUGAAAUUCGUAGAUAUUCGCAAGAACACCAGUGGCGAAGGCGGCUCACUGGCCCGAUACUGACGCUGAGGCACGAAAGCGUGGGGAGCAAACAGG